UUUCUCGAUAGUUCUGUACAUUACUUUUAAACUCGGUUCCCUGUCAUGAUUGCUAUUCGCUAUCGCCACCUUUUGGGAUCACCAUUUGCCAAUCUUCACACAACAUCGUAUCCAUUUCGCGACAUUUUUUUAACUGGACGAAGG